AUGAUUGGCCUCAGGGCCUUAUCGAUUAUUAAUCCCAACACCUCUGUGAACCGUUUUCGGCCCUCGGGCUGAUCUUUUUACAAUACAAACAUUGUGUAAUGAGCGCCUUGUUAUCUUAACAAAAC
rnacentral:misc_RNA from 1 species